rnacentral:rRNA from 1 species
GACGAACGCUGGCGGCGUGCUUAACACAUGCAAGUCGAACGGAAAGGCCCUGCUUGCAGGGUACACGAGUGGCGAACGGGUGAGUAACACGUGGGUGAUCUGCCCUGCACUUCGGGAUAAGCCUGGGAAACUGGGUCUAAUACCGGAUAGGAGCCAUUUUUAGUGUGAUGGUUGGAAAGUUUUUUCGGUGUAGGAUGAGCUCGCGGCCUAUCAGCUUGUUGGUGGGGUAAUGGCCUACCAAGGCGGCGACGGGUAGCCGGCCUGAGAGGGUGGACGGCCACAUUGGGACUGAGAUACGGCCCAGACUCCUACGGGAGGCAGCAGGGGGGAAUAUUGCACAAUGGGCGCAAGCCUGAUGCAGCGACGCCGCGUGGGGGAUGACGGCCUUCGGGUUGUAAACUCCUUUCGCUAGGGACGAAGCUUUUUGUGACGGUACCUAGAUAAGAAGCACCGGCUAACUACGUG